rnacentral:rRNA from 1 species
UCGUGAAUAUUCCGCAAUGGACGAAAGUCUGACGGAGCGACGCCGCGUGCAGGAUGAAGCCCUUCGGGGUGUAAACUGCUUUUAUAGGGGAAGAAUUUGUGACGGUACCCUAUGAAUAAGAGGUUGCUAACUCUGUGCCAGCAGCAGCGGUAAUACAGAGACCUCAAACGUUAUCCGGAUUCAUUGGGCGUAAAGCGUCCGCAGGUGGUUUGGUAAGUCAUUGGUUAAAUCCUGGGGCUCAACUUCAGGA